GAUAGACUAAUGUAGGUAAGGGAAGUCGGCAAAUUGGAUCCGUAACUUCGGAAUAAGGAUUGGCUCUGAGGAGCGGGGCGUGUCGGGCUUGGUCGGGAAGCGGGUCUGGCUGACGUGCCGGGCCUGGGCGAGGUGAACGAUCCGGUGUUCUCGCGCCGGUUCCCGGGAUCCGAGCUCGGUCCCGUGCCUUGGCCUCCCGCGGAUCUUCCUUGCUGCGAGGCUUCCGUGGCGGCGCGAGCCGUCGUGGUCGUCCUCUUCGGCCGCCAUUCAACGCUCAGCUCAGAACUGGCACGGACUAGGGGAAUCCGACUGUCUAAUUAAAACAAAGCAUUGCGAUGGCCCUCGCGGGUGUUGACGCAAUGUGAUUUCUGCCCAGUGCUCUGAAUGUCAACGUGAAGAAAUUCAAGCAAGCGCGGGUAAACGGCGGGAGUAACUAUGACUCUCUUAAGACAUUUUAUUUGACAUUUUUUAAGACAUUUAUUUGAGACAUCCAGCACUGUGCCAUGUCCCUAAGUGCACUGCCCCAAAGACACCCCUGGCAAGUGGCGAAACCUGUACAACGUGUGGACGGGUUUUCGCCACGAAAUCAGGCCUCUCGCAGCACGAGAGGCACGAGCAUCCGGCGGUAAGGAACGUAGCUAGAACAAACACAGCCAAGAAGGGCGAGCAGGCGCCCAGAAAAUUAAAAACAUUCACUAUAGAGGAAGUAAGCCGGAUGCUCGAUAUGGAAGUACAGUACAGAGGCGAACGCAACGUGGCCCAAUUAAUGGCAGCGUCCCUCCCUGGAAAAACCUGCAAACAAAUAAGAGAUAAAAGGGCCACGUUGACGUAUAAAAAGAGGAGGGACGCAAUUCUAGCUCCAAGAGAGGAGCUAGAGGAUGUGCCCGAGGAGGAUCGUGAGUUGCCUACUCCUCCCGGGGAUCCGCCACAUCCAGAGGUGGAAGAAAUCGCCUCGAGCGUCGACGUGUCGGUACGUAUUUUAGAUCAACAGUCAGGCACAUGUGCCGAUGCGUCGACGUUAAGGACCGAAGCCUCGGACCCUACUCCAGAAACAGGCUGGAUGGGGGGAAUGGCAUCAAAGAUCCUGGAGAUCGAGCUCCCUGAUGACAUUCCGGCCGAGGCAGCAGCAUGCGUCCGGCUGCUAAGGGAGACCCUGGCAUAUAUUGAGAGCAACAUGGGAAAUCUACCACCAAGACAGAAACUAGAGGAGACAGACAGAGAAGUGGAAAAAUAUUUUGAAUUGAAGAGCGAGUCUGCUAAUGGUAAAAGAAAGAGGAAGAAAAAGAGUGGAAACAAUAAGCAGUAUAGAUAUGCCAGGGCUCAAGAGUUGUACAGGCAAAAUCCAGGCCUUCUAGCGAAAUACGCGAGGGAGGGUAUAGACUGGACCAAGAAUAGUAAAACCUCCCUCGCGACAAACGAUAUAAGUAGACUGUACAACUCGUUGUGGGGAACUAAGCCCCACAUCAGACUCCCGGAUUUUGGAGCACCGGAAGUCGAGCUGUCACUGGAGGAGGUCCUUACUCCAGUGACUCUCAAAGAAAUCCAUAACCGGGUAACCCGAACAAAGGCCAACGUAGCACCAGGCCCGGAUGGAAUAAGGAAAAGGGACGUAUGCCGGUGCAUUGACAUGGAGAUUCUCAGGCUGUGGUUUAACCUAAUCAUGAUCAGGUCCUACCAAUCAACAGCCUGGAAAAUGAACAGAACGACCUUGCUACCGAAAGAGGGGCAAGACAUUAACAAGGUCACUAAUUACCGACCGAUAACGAUUAGUUCAAUUCUAUCACGAUUAUACUGGGGGAUCGUUGAUCAGAAAUUGAGAAAAUGUAUCUCCAUGUCGCCACGUCAAAAAGGCUUUACGUCGGAAGCAGGAUGCUUCAAUAACGUGCACAUCCUAAGUGAAUUAUUAAGACAUUCAAAAACGAAUGAAGGCCUGGUCGCAGUGCAGUUGGACGUCUCCAAGGCGUUCGACACGAUACCGCACGAAGCCAUUGGAGCUGCUCUGCGGAAAAAGGGGCUGCCCGAGCUAGUGGUGCGGCUCGUGACAGACUCCUAUAAGGAUGUGCACACGAAGAUAACAAAUGGGCAAGAACAAAUUGAAAUACAGCUCCAGCGCGGGGUCAAGCAGGGGGACCCCCUCUCACCACUAUUGUUCAAUUUAGUGAUGGAGCCUAUGCUUAGGGCGUUGGAGAGUCAGCCGGGUUACAAUAUAGGAGACGAAGCAGGCGUCUCAGUAUUGGCCUUUGCGGAUGACAUAAUCCUAACCGCAAAGACAGCACCACAGGCCAAUAAUCUGCUCGGAUAUGCGGAGGCCUACCUAAGGGAGCUAGGUAUGAGCAUCUCAGCAGCCAAAUGCGCGGCCUUCCGCAUAAUAACAACAAAAGACUCCUGGUACCUGGCAGAUCCCGAGCUGACAUUACAUAGUGGAGAAGGUAUCCCGUACGCGGAGGCGGGUACCACACUCAAAUACCUUGGUAUGAGAAUAUCUCCUUGGGCAGGAAUA
rnacentral:ncRNA from 1 species